UACGUACUCCUUCUGUCAUAAAAUUCUUGUCUUAUCUUUGUUUAAAAAUGAAUGUAUCUAUAUACGAAAAACUUGACUAGAUACGUUCAUAUCUAAAUAAAACUAAGACAAAAAAUUUGUAACGGAGGGAGUACCAA
rfam:Hordeum vulgare subsp. vulgare, WGS project CAJW01000000 data, contig: morex_contig_2546667